GUGAAGUGGUAGCCUGGUUUCCU
rnacentral:siRNA from 1 species